GGAGCAUUUUAAUGUGGUAUUUUAAUAGUUAAUUCCUCACAUUUUGCUUAGUUAAUUCCUUAACGAAUCGAUUUUUAACUUAAUUUCUAUUUUUUUUAGGUACAUUGGAGUAGAUGAUGAUGAAAUGAGCAUUAGGUCCAUAAUUACCUAUAAAUGAUGGAGAAAAAUGGAAAUGUACUAAAAGGUCAAUUUUACACAUUUUCCUACUCCGGCUAGGAGAAACCAAGCCAAGCAAGGAAGAAGGAGCGGCCGCCUGACCAACUGAACUCGAAAUGAGUUGAAACUUUCCAGAUCCAUUCUAGACAUCCUAAGGAUCGUUUCUUAUGAAGAGUGCCAGAGCUAGAAUUGAGUGGAAAGCCUUCAAACAGUCAGCCCAAUUUCCUGCAGAAGCAAAACUGGAAAACUGGACCCGUAAGGAGUCCAGCAGAGAUUCUGGCCCAAAGGCAUGGAAAUAAAUUCUGAAAUUUUACCAAAAUGAUCUACACUCAUGGUAGAUCAUUUCAUAUGAAGAAGUCAAGAGCCAAAACUGAAUUCCUGUUGGAGAAAUAAUUGAAGGAAUAAAGGGGCAGAAACUGACCUAAAACCAGCUCAAUAUUCACAUGUUCAUGUUUCCUACCCACAUGAAGAAAGCUAGAUGCUUUUCUCUUUUUCCUUGGAUAUAUUUUUCUGCUCCAAUAGAUCAUCAUCACUUCCAUACUUCUGCACCUUCAUGCCUUGCUUUCAUUUCAUCAUUACUCCAUCUUUUCCAUAUUUUACAAACCACUUUCAUUAUUUUUCUUCCAUUUAUCAUUUCACUCUUCUUUUUCUUCCCUAUAUAAACACCUUCUCCUCUCACUCUAAAUACAUUCCUUCAUCCAUUCCAUCUUCUUUGUCUCUCCAUUUCCUUUCCAUUUUCCUUUCCAUCCUCUAGUUUCAAGUUUAGUCAUCUCCAUGAGUUCAAGCAAGGCCAAAGAAGAAGAAGAGAAGCCGUGAGCACUUCCAUCCAUAGCCAUCCUUGAAGCUUGCUUUCGAGUUUCAAGAAUCCACAACGUGAAUCAUCCAUCUCAUCUUCAUCCACGGUGUGUACCCUCAAUCCCCGGAAUAGAACGAUCCCUAUUUGCUUAUACUACUAACGAUGUUUUCAGGGUUAAAUUAUGCGCUUGCUUUGAGCGUAUCAGAGAUGAAGUUGUAGCUAGGCCUUUACUAUCGGGCCUAGGGCUGGCUUUCUCUAGAGUCAUUUGGGCCACUAUUUAGUUAGUUAUUUCUUUCUAAUAAUUUCCUAUUUUUUUAGGGACCUAUGAGCACUAGUUAUAUAAUGAGUGGUCUAUCGCUAUGUAUCACUGUGGUACACCUACAACCUCUUGCAUGUCUUGCCUGUCUAGCCAUUGGCAGUGGAGGGAUGCCCGUACUGAAAGUGGUCAUGGUGUUCCAAAGUCGGUCCAACAUAAUGUUGCUUAGCUUGGAGAGAGACACAUAUUUACUAAUUGUUUCGAGUUGGAAAAAAAGCGCAAGCAGCAAUAUAAUAGGCAAUGCAUAGCUUAGAAUUUUGCGAAUUGCCUCAUCGAAA